rnacentral:ncRNA from 2 species
GACAGAUCAUGUGACUGACGGAAGUGGGUUUACCCACAGGGAGCAUGGUCGUAGAACGCCGACCGUCUGGGCACCUGCU